rnacentral:rRNA from 1 species
GGUGGAUGCCUGGGCAGUCAGAGGCGAUGAAGGACGUACUAACUUGCGAUAAGCGCAGAUAAGGCAGUAAGAGCCGUUUGAGUCUGCGAUUUCCGAAUGGGGAAACCCAACUGCAUAAGCAGUUACUGUUAACUGAAUACAUAGGUUAACAGAGCAAACCGGGGGAACUGAAACAUCUAAGUACCCCGAGGAGAAGAAAUCAACCGAGAUUCCGGUAGUAGCGGCGAGCGAACCUGGAUUAGCCCUUAAGCACUCGGUGAAGUAGGUGAACAAGCUGGAAAGCUUGGCGAUACAGGGUGAUAGCCCCGUAACCGACGCUUCAUCGAGCGUGAAAUCGAGUAGGGCGGGACACGUGAUAUCCUGUCUGAAUAUGGGGGGACCAUCCUCCAAGGCUAAAUACUCCUGACUGACCGAUAGUGAACCAGUACCGUGAGGGAAAGGCGAAAAGAACCCCUGUGAGGGGAGUGAAAUAGAACCUGAAACCGUGUACGUACAAGCAGUAGGAGCACCUUCGUGGUGUGACUGCGUACCUUUUGUAUAAUGGGUCAGCGACUUAUAUUCAGUGGCAAGGUUAACCGUAUAGGGGAGCCGUAGCGAAAGCGAGUCUUAACUGGGCGCUCAGUCUCUGGAUAUAGACCCGAAACCGGGUGAUCUAGCCAUGGGCAGGUUGAAGGUUGAGUAACAUCAACUGGAGGACCGAACCGACUAAUGUUGAAAAAUUAGCGGAUGACUUGUGGCUAGGGGUGAAAGGCCAAUCAAACUCGGAGAUAGCUGGUUCUCCCCGAAAGCUAUUUAGGUAGCGCCUCGGACGAAUACUACUGGGGGUAGAGCACUGUUAAGGCUAGGGGGUCAUCCCGACUUACCAACCCUUUGCAAACUCCGAAUACCAGUAAGUACUAUCCGGGAGACACACGGCGGGUGCUAACGUCCGUCGUGGAGAGGGAAACAACCCAGACCGCCAGCUAAGGUCCCAAAGUAUUGCUAAGUGGGAAACGAUGUGGGAAGGCUCAGACAGCUAGGAUGUUGGCUUAGAAGCAGCCAUCAUUUAAAGAAAGCGUAAUAGCUCACUAGUCGAGUCGGCCUGCGCGGAAGAUGUAACGGGGCUAAGCAAUACACCGAAGCUGCGGCAAUGUCUUUUAGAUAUUGGGUAGGGGAGCGUUCUGUAAGCCGUUGAAGGUAAAUCGUAAGGUUUGCUGGAGGUAUCAGAAGUGCGAAUGCUGACAUGAGUAACGACAAGGGGGGUGAAAAACCUCCCCGCCGGAAGACCAAGGGUUCCUGUCCAACGUUAAUCGGGGCAGGGUGAGUCGACCCCUAAGGUGAGGCCGAAAGGCGUAAUCGAUGGGAAACGGGUUAAUAUUCCCGUACUUCUGACUAUUGCGAUGGGGGGACGGAGAAGGCUAGGUGGGCCAGGCGACGGUUGUCCUGGUUCAA